rnacentral:rRNA from 1 species
UACGUAGGGUGCAGGCGUUAAUCGGAAUUACUGGGCGUAAAGCGUGCGCAGGCGGUUUCGCAAGUCAGAUGUGAAAGCCCCGGGCUCAACCUGGGAAUUGCAUUUGAAACUACGAGGCUAGAGUGUGUCAGAGGGGGGUAGAAUUCCACGUGUAGCAGUGAAAUGCGUAGAGAUGUGGAGGAAUACCGAUGGCGAAGGCAGCCCCCUGGGAUAACACUGACGCUCAUGCACGAAAGCGUGGGGAGCAAACAGG